rnacentral:hammerhead_ribozyme from 1 species
AUCCAGCUGACGAGUCUCGAAUAGGACGAAAUGCGUGUCCUGCAU